CCCUGUGCAAGGAUGACAUGUAAACUCAUGAAGUGUUCCAUAUUUU
rnacentral:snRNA from 1 species